GAUUUCUGACGAAACUGCUAGCUGGCCCGCCACGUCAGUGUGUGAGUGCCGGCUUGGCGUUUGUCAUCCGUUCGAAUGAUAUGCAUGCUGCCCUUCACUGGGUUGGCAUCGCAUGUUUUCGAUCUUUUACUUUGAAAAAAUUAGAGUGUUUCAAGCAGGCAUAUUUGCUAUGAAUACAUUAGCAUGGAAUAAUAAUCUAGGACUUUCGGUUCUAUUUUGUUGGUGUUCUGGAGCUGAAGUAAUGAUUGAUAGGGAUAGUUGGGGGUGCUAGUAUUCAAUGGCCAGAGGUGAAAUUCUCGGAUUCGCUGAAGACUAACUUAUGCGAAAGCAUU
rnacentral:rRNA from 1 species